GCCGAAUUGGUUUCUCUCAAGACCUCCAUGGACGUCCCACAUGCAAGCUCCAAUUCACCACUUUCAUGCCAUGAUCUUCAUAAAUUCUUUCAUUAAAAGUGAUCCUUACCUCUUGGGAAGACUAUAGGCAGCAAAAGGGAGAAGAAAUUCCAAGGUUUUAAUAAGCUCAAGAAAAGGUACUGGAGACCAGACACAACAGCCGGCAUAGCAGCAACCGCCACAGUAGUACUCUGAUUACAGUUGACUAGAUCUGCAUACAGUCCAGAGUUCACCUCAUCAAUCUUUUGUAUUUUGG
rnacentral:misc_RNA from 1 species